rnacentral:rRNA from 1 species
UACAGAGGGGGCAAGCGUUGUUCGGAUUCACUGGGCGUAAAGGGUGCGUAGGUGGCGUGGUAAGUUUGAUGUGAAAGCUCAGGGCUUAACCCUGAAAUGGCAUUGAAUACUACUGUGCUGGAGGUUUGGAGGGGGGGACUGGAAUUCUUGGUGUAGCAGUGAAAUGCGUAGAUAUCAAGAGGAACACCAGUGGCGAAGGCGAGUCCCUGGACAACACCUGACACUGAGGCACGAAAGCUAGGGGGAGCAAACAGG